GAUGAACGCUGGCGGCGUGCCUAAUACAUGCAAGUCGAGCGAACGGACGAGAAGCUUGCUUCUCUGAUGUUAGCGGCGGACGGGUGAGUAACACGUGGAUAACCUACCUAUAAGACUGGGAUAACUUCGGGAAACCGGAGCUAAUACCGGAUAAUAUUUUGAACCGCAUGGUUCAAAAGUGAAAGACGGUCUUGCUGUCACUUAUAGAUGGGUCCGCGCUGCAUUAGCUAGUUGGUAAGGUAACGGCUUACCAAGGCAACGAUGCAUAGCCGACCUGAGAGGGUGAGCGGCCACACUGGAACUGAGACACGGUCCAGACUCCUACGGGAGGCAGCAGUAGGGAAUCUUCCGCAAUGGGCGAAAGCCUGACGGAGCAACGCCGCGUGAGUGAUGAAGGUCUUCGGAUCGUAAAACUCUGUUAUUAGGGAAGAACAUAUGUGUAAGUAACUGUGCACAUCUUGACGGUACCUAAUCAGAAAGCCACGGCUAACUACGUG
rnacentral:rRNA from 1 species